rnacentral:rRNA from 1 species
GACAGAGGAGCCAAGCGUUGUCCGGACUGACUGGGCGUAAAGCGCACGCAGGUGGUCGCGGGCGUCGGUGCUGAAAGCGGUCGGCUUAACUGACCGAGGCGUGCCGAUACGCCGUGACUCGAGCCGUGUAGAGGUCCGUGGAAGUGCCGGUGUAGUGGUGAAAUGCGUAGAGAUCGGCCCGAACACCCAAGGGGAAGCCAGCGGACUGGGCACGUGCUGACACUGAGGUGCGACAGCGUGGGGAGCGAACUGG